rnacentral:rRNA from 1 species
UAUGACUCUCGGCAACGGAUGUCUCGGCUCUCGCAUCGAUGAAGAACGUAGCGAGAUGCGAUACGUGGUGUGAAUUGCAGAAUCCCGUGAACCAUCGAGUCUUUGAACGCAAGUUGCGCCCGAGGGACCCUCCCGAGGGCACGCCUGCCUCAUGGGC